UUAGACUGUUGGUUUUCACACGUUGCGUUGUGCCAUAGUUAAUUUUAAUUUGCUUCAAAGACAGUUUACUACAGUGGAUGUUUGUUUGGAAACGUUUUUAGAAACUCUUUAAAACAGUUACUUUGUAAAGGAGAACGGGAAUUCCCUUGGAGGAGUUUCUUUGAGAAGUUCUUUGUCAAGAAGGGACGGCCCAUAGGACACCAUGAUUGGAUGACCACGUCAACUGCUGGACCCUGAUGGACUCACGAUGGAGGAUCUGAUAGGGGACCGUCGCGGUUGCGGUUGUUGCAGACGUGACAUCAUGGUUGAUGAUGUGUUUUAUAGGCCUGCACUAUUAAACUGGUAAUACAUUUCAGAAUGCCACCAGGCUAUUUGAAAGCUGUGCUAUCUGACUUUGUAAUAGGCCAGGGCUCAAUACUCUUUAGAGUCAUAUCCCAGGGCAAAUCCUUCUGCU